rnacentral:rRNA from 1 species
GAAUUAUUGGGCGUAAAGCGCGCGCAGGCGGCUAUUUAAGUCUGGUGUUUAAACCUUGGGCUCAACCUGGGGUCGCACUGGAAACUGGGUGGCUUGAGUACAGAAGAGGAAAGUGGAAUUCCACGUGUAGCGGUGAAAUGCGUAGAUAUGUGGAGGAACACCAGUGGCGAAGGCGACUUUCUGGGCUGUAACUGACGCUGAGGCGCGAAAGCGUGGGGAGCAAACAGGAUUAGAUACCCUGGUAGUCCACGCCGUAAACGAUGAGUGCUAGGUGUUAGGGGUUUCGAUACCCUUGGUGCCGAAGUUAACACAGUAAGCACUCCGCCUGGGGAGUACGGUCGCAAGACUGAAACUCAAAAGAAUUGACGGGGACCCGCACAAGCAGUGGAGUAUGUGGUUUAAUUCGAAGCAACGCGAAGAACCUUACCAGGUCUUGACAUCCAACUAACGAAGCAGAGAUGCAUUAGGUGCCCUUCGGGGAAAGUUGAGACAGGUGGUGCAUGGU